rnacentral:lncRNA from 1 species
CAUACCCCUUGAGGGCUUUACCAUGAGUUACCUAUCUACUUGUGUACAAUACAGGUGGAAUUGGUCUGUGAAAAUUGAUAUUCUAAAUUAUUGUAGAUUGUAUAUUUCUGUGUUUUCUACAAUAAAACAGUGUAUUAAUUGUGCCUUUUAUUAUUAUAAAUAUAGUCUAACUGCAUAUUUUAUUUAUAUUGCAGCUUCAUGCCCAUGAGUUCAAUACAAAUGUAGCCUUGUAUGAACUCUAUAGGUAUGCUGUUAAGUAUAAUGACCAGUUGAUACAAACUUUAGAAGAAGAUGAAUUUUCACGGAAGAACAAAUUGGCAUGGAAGCUUGAACAAGUGCAUGCAAUAAUGAGUGGAGAGUCAGAAGCAUGACAGUAUUAUUGGCAAUCUGUGGAUGUGUGACAUUAUUAAAAUCCCAGUGUGCUUUGUCAAACCUUCACCGAUUGCCGCGGCUCGGUUUAAAGGACUUGCUGCCACAUUUUGGGAUCCUCCGUUCUAUGCAAUUAGGAUGCCCCCUGAGGAGCAACUGGGUGUAAACUGAAAUCAGUUCCACCCUUUGCCCCCAGUUCCUAGACAGCAACGAAAAUUCACUACGAACGAAUGAAUCUUUUAGAAACUUAAAAAAAAAAAAAAAAAAAAAAAAACUGUGUGCAGGUCAGCAAAAACUGAAAUUGUCAUCAAAAGCCUGUUUUUGGAUGCAAUGUGGAAAUAAGUAGAAUCAAAUUAUUGUUGUAAACUGCAGGCACCUAGUGAGCUAAUCCUGAGUUCACUAUGAUAUAUGUGGUGCCAAACCAUGGCAAGAAUUUUUAUUUGUUUUUAAUAAUUUGUCCUUUAUGGAUGCACCUAGUCUUUUAAUAUUGUUCAUCCCCCUCUCUGCAUCCCCUGCUAAAAUAAUUUUCAUUGUAUCAUGAUCAAAUGUUCACCUACUGCAUGUGCAACUUCCAGUGCCUUUGUAAUGCAUGCUUCUGAGUUCUUUUGAAAAUUUAGAAGCCAUUCCAGUUUACCCUUAGUAGCCUUGACCUUGAGUCUUCCACUUUGUGUUCCUUGUAUAAGAACAAAGACUUGUUUAUUUAUCUCAUUCUUUAAGGGGCCUUUUUGAAUUGGUAUGAGGUUUGAAAAGGAAUGUUGAUCUCCAAAACUCAAAACCAAUGAAAAUGAAGCAAGGCAAUAUGUAGAAACUUUAUCUAUCCAAUGUAUUAUAUAUACAUAUAUAUGUAUGUAUAUGUAUAUAUAUAUAUAUGUAUAUAUAUAUACAUAUAUAUAUAUAUAUAUGAUGUAUGUAUUUAUAUACACAUCAACACAUCUGUGCACUGCUACAAGUGGUUACUGUUGCAUUUUAAGGCACGGAAUAGAAACAAUUUGCAGUGCUCAUACAAAGUAGCCGAUAGAGUGUAGUUCAUUUACCAAAAUCUAGUUCCCAGUUUUAAAGACUUGCACUGUGAUAGACUUUUAUUUUUCUCUCAUCCCACUAAUACCCAUUCCAUUUGUUUCAUACACUUCCAUGUAAUUUUGUUCCACAGAUUUUGUGCAAAUAAAUAAAUAUAACAUGAAGGGAAGAAAGAAAUGUUCCUUCAAUUUCACCAUUUGCAAGUUAUACAAGGUACAAGGUGAACUGUCGUCCAAACAGACAACUUAUUUCAUCCAAAAUGAAGAAGGUUGUUAUCUAAUGUGACCUUUUGAAGUAUAUGCCCCCAGUUGUUUGAAUUUGAUGUAUAUGCACAGAAUAAGCUCAGAGAAAAGAUCCAUGGCAAAUUUAUCACCAAGCUGCUUUAUGCAUUCAAACUUCCGGGAAGAACACCCAAUGACAUGCUAAAGCAGCUGCACCAGAAGUCACCAGUUAUUUGUGUGCUACGAGGAUGAAUGUUAAGCAAAAGACACUUUUUUUGGUACAACCUUAAACUUUGUAAUAUAUUUAUAGCAUAUUUUUAUUAUGAUGUUGAUUUAGAGCCUCUACCUUGCUCAAAUAAUUUCCUGCAUUAAAUUGGCACCCAAAGUAAUAAGAGGUGUUGCAAUUUAAUAUGUUACUCCUCCCACAUGUAAAAAUGUUUCAGUUUAGAUAAUUGGUCCCAGUUUUCAGCACAAAUUGUUUCAUAAUGCAGGUACCAAAAUGACCAAAUCACAAAUGUUUCUCAAAAAUUUCUACAUGUAUUCAAAUUUUUAAUAAAAUGUAAUAAAAAUGAUAUUGUGAUAUUUGA